GCGGGUGUAGUUUAGUGGUAAAACUACAGCCUUCCAAGCUGUUGUCGGGAGUUCGAUUCUCCUCACCCGCU
rfam:Jeotgalibaca sp. PTS2502, complete genome.